rnacentral:rRNA from 1 species
UACGUAGGGGGCAAGCGUUAUCCGGAUUUACUGGGUGUAAAGGGGGCGCAGACGGCAAUGCAAGCCAGGAGUGAAAGCCCGGGGCCCAACCCCGGGACUGCUCUUGGAACUGCAUGGCUGGAGUACAGGAGGGGCAGGCGGAAUUCCUAGUGUAGCGGCGAAAUGCGUAGAUAUUAGGAGGAACACCGGUGGCGAAGGCGGCCUGCUGGACUGUGACUGACGUUGAGGCCCGAAGGCGUGGGGAGCAAACAGG